rnacentral:lncRNA from 1 species
AUGACGUCAUCUAGCAAAUAGGGGAAAAUAAUGUCGUUGCCUGAUGGCAAAACAAGACUGUCCUAAUAAGAUAUAAAUACAACGAAAAUGGAUAAAACCCACUUUUUAUAUAGUACAAUGUGCUUUAGAUAUUAAAUAGAUAUUCAUUUUAGUUUAAUUUUAUUUCUACCAUCCGUUUUGUCUACCCUAACUAUUGUAAUUAGUUAAUAGCAUAAAGGAUCAAUGACGUAGUUAGACAAACUAAACAAAGCAUAUGAAUAAUAACAUGAGCUUUUGCUUAAUGCUGGGAUCUUCAUUAUAUUUAUAUCCCAGGCUUAUGUAAUUGUAAAUAAACCUCCCGUUGAAUUUUGAAUUGUAAAUAAAUGACUUUCACUAACCUGCCAAUGGGCAGAUCAUGACAGAUAUUAAUAGCAGUCUAUUAAUAACAUACUUCUUUUUUUUUUCUUAUUCAAGUUGUAUAUGGUUUUAAUUUGUUCUUGAAAUACAACCAAAUUGUAUAAAUGUUAUAUUUAAAAAAUCAAUUCAAAAUGGUUUCUCAUUUUAACUGUUUUUUGAUGUUGAUGAGGUUUAGCUAGAGAUGAGACAGAAUGAAAGGGAAUUUCUAAACACAUUCCAUCAUGUGUUAAGAAAUCCAUGAGAAGGAUUUAUUUAUCAACUAUCUCAAAAAUUUUAUCUAAGAGCGUACGAAUGUGGGAAUUAAUUAAUUUCUUCAUUUAUUGAAUUAAUCAUUUAAAAGCCUGUUGACGGAAGAGCUUGGGAAUUCUUUCUGGGGGUCCUCUACCAUGCUCCGAUCCGAUGAGGUAAUUUGGAAAUCAUUUCUCUAGUCAAGGUUACAGAGUUUUUCAAAAAAGUUGUGUUAGCAAGUAUUGAAGCAGAAGAUUGGACCUUGAAUGCAUGUUAUAUAUUAUUAAUAAAAGACGACAAAUACUAAUGAGAUUACACCAAAAUUUAAACCAUCUAAGAGGCAAAGAGAAAAAUAUACAAUGGAAUGAUUGAAUGGAGGGACCAUCAAGGGGUUGUCAUGGAAGAACACGGUGAACAAUAAGCCUGAUACUUGUCUAUGGUGUCCAGAAGCGAAACCAACAAGGCUGGAAAAACUGUUGCCAAUUUAUUGCAAAAAGAAAGACGUCCCAUCCCCUAACGGAAUCAUUAGCACAAGAUUUAACGAAAAAGGGACUGACUGUGGUUACGGAUAAAACAAUAGGACAGGACUUUGGUCUCAUUCUGAGGUCAUAACAUUAUUGUGGCUAUAGGGGCACUAUGAUAUUGAUUGAUGAAGAAGAAAAAGUACAAUCUUGUUCUCAUAAGGGACUCAUUUAAAAAUUGUUCAAGGAUGGAGUCAAAAUAGUAACUAUCAUUAUUAUACACGUGAGACAUUUGCAAUGAGAACGGCUAAGGACUGGAAGAUGUUUCUAGGAUUUACUGCAAGAACUAUAGCUAGAAUGCAGAUAAAACUGCUGAAUUUGCAGUCAAGAAAGAUUAUGGAAAAACUAAGUUUUGUUUCAAGUCUGGAAUUAAGUUGCAUUUAGGAUGUUUCAAAUUCUAAUGUCUGAGGAAAUGUGUGUUUCGCUUAUUGCGUUAUUAAUAUUAAAUUUAUGUUUUAUUUUAAUAUUUUAAUUACUAAUAGUCUCUUUAAUAAUGAAGAAUAAAGCAUUAGCAAUAAAUAUUUUAUUUUUA